rnacentral:rRNA from 1 species
GAUGAACGCUGGCGGCGUGCCUAAUACAUGCAAGUCGAGCGAACAGACGAGGAGCUUGCUCCUCUGACGUUAGCGGCGGACGGGUGAGUAACACGUGGAUAACCUACCUAUAAGACUGGGAUAACUUCGGGAAACCGGAGCUAAUACCGGAUAAUAUAUUGAACCGCAUGGUUCAAUAGUGAAAGACGGUCUUGCUGUCACUUAUAGAUGGAUCCGCGCUGCAUUAGCUAGUUGGUAAGGUAACGGCUUACCAAGGCAACGAUGCGUAGCCGACCUGAGAGGGUGAUCGGCCACACUGGAACUGAGACACGGUCCAGACUCCUACGGGAGGCAGCAGUAGGGAAUCUUCCGCAAUGGGCGAAAGCUUGACGGAGCAACGCCGCGUGAGUGAUGAAGGUCUUCGGAUCUUAAAACUCUGUUAUUAGGGAAGAACAAAUGUGUAAGUAACUGUGCACGUCUUGACGGUACCUAAUCAGAAAGCCACGGCUAACUACGUG